UGUUCUGUGGCGGAGUUGAAUAACGCGCCCUGUCUAGCGAACUUGGGGAGACGUGGGUUCAAACCCCACCAGAACUA
rfam:Aedes albopictus isolate Foshan contig78489, whole genome shotgun sequence.